rnacentral:lncRNA from 1 species
AUGGCGACAAUGCGAGGAUUACGCCAUUCUUGAGACAAUGUAGAAGAAGGAAGUACUUUUUUGCAAGGGCAAACGAGAAAGGUAAAGAGGAAUUGACGAUUUUUUCCAACAGGGCAAUGUCUAGGGCUUGGAGAUGACGGUUGCAUAAAGGUCAAGUUGGAAGAGCAAAAGAGGAUAACUUAAGGGAAUAGUUUAGUAAGGUAGGGGCAAAAUAGGUAUUUUAAUUAGUUUUUAACUCUGAUAGAUAUUUAACCCAUGUUUAACCCUAGAUAAUAUAACAGAGGUAACUGCGGGGGUAUUUUGAAAUAACGGUGGAACAUACAAGGGGUAUCUUAGAAAGAAAAAAAAAAAUAGGGAUAAAUUGGAUAUUUUCGAAGUUAUGAGGGGUAUAUAGGCAAUUAUCCCUAAUAUAAAAAUAUCUGUUAUUCUAUUGAUUUGGUACCACAGAUGAGAGAGAAUAUGGGGUGUAUUGUGUGCUAUGAUUUUUGUGAGAGAGACGUCCUUUUGUACUCCACUUUCAUUAUAAUUAAAGUCCAUUGUCAUGGACUUAGUGAUUUUGUUUGCAAAAGCUUGUGUGGCUCCCGCUC